CAACUCAAGAGUAGCUGCUUCGCGCAUGA
rnacentral:sRNA from 1 species